rnacentral:sRNA from 1 species
CGUCAUCAAUCUGUUGCGGGCAGAUAAAGUGAAUGUGGCUGUCCAUCCCGCCCGCGGUCAGAAUGCGCCCCUCGCCGGCAAUCGCCUCGGUCCCCGGACCGACAAUGAUGUUCACGCCGGGCUGCGUAUCGGGGUUGCCCGCCUUGCCGAUCUUGUGGAUACGCCCGUUUUUCAGACCCACGUCGGCCUUAUAGAUCCCGGUCCAGUCGACAAUCAAAGCGUUGGUGAUCACGGUGUCCACCGCCCCAUCGGCGCGCGUCACCUGAGACUGGCCCAUGCCGUCGCG